rnacentral:rRNA from 1 species
CCUACGGGUGGCAGCAGUGGGGGAUAUUGCACAAUGGGGGAAACCCUGAUGCAGCGACGCCGCGUGUGGGAAGACGGUCCUCUGGAUUGUAAACCACUGUCCCCAGGGACGAAGAUGACGGUACCUGAAUAAGAAGCCCCGGCUAACUACGUGCCAGCAGCCGCGGUAAUACGUAGGGGGCAAGCGUUAUCCGGAAUUACUGGGUGUAAAGGGUGAGUAGGCGGCAUGGUAAGCCAGAUGUGAAAGCCUUGGGCUUAACCCGAGGAUUGCAUUUGGAACUAUCAAGCUAGAGUACAGGAGAGGAAAGCGGAAUUCCUAGUGUAGCGGUGAAAUGCGUAGAUAUUAGGAAGAACACCAGUGGCGAAGGCGGCUUUCUGGACUGAAACUGACGCUGAGGCACGAAAGCGUGGGGAGCGAACAGGAUUAGAUACCCCAGUAGUC